rnacentral:lncRNA from 1 species
UCAAUCCGAUAAGAUAACUCCAAAGGGGAAACUCAAUUCAUUACAAGAAGGAGAGGGGGAAGAACAUCAUAAGAUCCAACUAUAGUACCAAAGCCCAUGGUACAUCGAGAUCAAGACAUCUCAAGAACACGAGAGAGAGAGAGAUCAAACACAUAGCUACUGUUACAUACCCUCAGCCCCGAGGGAGAACUACUCCCUCCUCGUCAUG